rnacentral:lncRNA from 1 species
CCAAGUGCCCGCUCCAGCCCCACCACUGACCCCGCCUGGCCCACAAAUGCCCAGCAGCCCUCAAGUGACUCCCUUGCCCACAAGGGCUCCUCUGUUGCCUCACCCAGUGGCUCCUGCAACGGCGCCUCCUGUAGGGCAUCAUGAGCACUGCUCCUGAUUGGCUGAGGGGCCUCACACCGGUCACGUGACCUGAAGCCCGGCCCUCCCCGGCGCAGGGGCUCAGGAAGCGCCUCCGGUGCAGACGGCGGGGCGCCCCGGGAGUCACGUGACUCCCACCAUGGCACACACUGCAGAUGCCCGAGGCAGUCAUGUGACCCCCAAAAUGGCUCCUGCCGCAAAGGUUCGUGGGACCCUCGCUUUCCACCGGGUGCCGCCCCCUGGUGCAGAGAUGCACAGCAGCUGCUGCUGAUUUGCCACGGCGCGUCACGGGACUUGCUCUCCAGUGCCAGCUACCGGGGCUGGGAGUUCCUGGCUGUGUUCCUACAAAAUGAUAAUGAGUCCCCCAGUGCCUACCUGCAGCUGUUGUUCACCUCCUAUGGCCCUGCCAGCACCCAGGUGUCACUGACGCUCCGUGGCAGGUCCGUCACCCA